CCCUGACGGAGUGCACUGAUCUGUGCUCAAACAGUUAAUUCAAGGUUAUGGGAGAUAGUCCUUUAAGCAGUAUGUCCUGGAAAUCUUGUCCAGAACUUAACAGAGGCUGUAGCCUCAUGUAUCCAUACAGUAGCACAGUGCAGUAAAAUCACCCCAGGAACACUGGGUAUGAACCCUUGAGUGCUUGCCACAGCUCUAACAGAGAGCACUAAUCUGUGCUCAAACAAUUCAAGGUUAUGGGAGAAUGAGAGAUAGUCCUUGAGCUGUAUGUCCUGGAAAUCCUG